CACAUAUUGUGAGCUUGAUGAGUAGGGCGGGACACGUGGUAUCCUGUCUGAAUAUGGGGGGCCCAUCCUCCAAGGCUAAAUACUCCUGACUGACCGAUAGUGAACCAGUACCGUGAGGGAAAGGCGAAAAGAACCCCGGCGAGGGGAGUGAAAAAGAACCUGAAACCGUGUACGUACAAGCAGUGGGAGCACGCUUAGGCGUGUGACUGCGUACCUUUUGUAUAAUGGGUCAGCGACUUAUAUUCUGUAGCAAGGUUAACCGAAUAGGGGAGCCGAAGGGAAACCGAGUCUUAACUGGGCGUUAAGUUGCAGGGUAUAGACCCGAAACCCGGUGAUCUAGCCAUGGGCAGGUUGAAGGUUGGGUAACACUAACUGGAGGACCGAACCGACUAAUGUUGAAAAAUUAGCGGAUGACUUGUGGCUGGGGGUGAAAGGCCAAUCAAACCGGGAGAUAGCUGGUUCUCCCCGAAAGCUAUUUAGGUAGCGCCUCGUGAAUUCAUCUCCGGGGGUAGAGCACUGUUUCGGCAAGGGGGUCAUCCCGACUUACCAACCCGAUGCAAACUGCGAAUACCGGAGAAUGUUAUCACGGGAGACACACGGCGGGUGCUAACGUCCGUCGUGAAGAGGGAAACAACCCAGACCGCCAGCUAAGGUCCCAAAGUCAUGGUUAAGUGGGAAACGAUGUGGGAAGGCCCAGACAGCCAGGAUGUUGGCUUAGAAGCAGCCAUCAUUUAAAGAAAGCGUAAUAGCUCACUGGUCGAGUCGGCCUGCGCGGAAGAUGUAACGGGGCUAAACCAUGCACCGAAGCUGCGGCAGCGACGCUUAUGCGUUGUUGGGUAGGGGAGCGUUCUGUAAGCCUGCGAAGGUGUGCUGUGAGGCAUGCUGGAGGUAUCAGAAGUGCGAAUGCUGACAUAAGUAACGAUAAAGCGGGUGAAAAGCCCGCUCGCCGGAAGACCAAGGGUUCCUGUCCAACGUUAAUCGGGGCAGGGUGAGUCGACCCCUAAGGCGAGGCCGAAAGGCGUAGUCGAUGGGAAACAGGUUAAUAUUCCUGUACUUGGUGUUACUGCGAAGGGGGGACGGAGAAGGCUAUGUUGGCCGGGCGACGGUUGUCCCGGUUUAAGCGUGUAGGCUGGUUUUCCAGGCAAAUCCGGAAAAUCAAGGCUGAGGCGUGAUGACGAGGCACUACGGUGCUGAAGCAACAAAUGCCCUGCUUCCAGGAAAAGCCUCUAAGCAUCAGGUAACAUCAAAUCGUACCCCAAACCGACACAGGUGGUCAGGUAGAGAAUACCAAGGCGCUUGAGAGAACUCGGGUGAAGGAACUAGGCAAAAUGGUGCCGUAACUUCGGGAGAAGGCACGCUGAUAUGUAGGUGAAGUCCCUUGCGGAUGGAGCUGAAAUCAGUCGAAGAUACCAGCUGGCUGCAACUGUUUAUUAAAAACACAGCACUGUGCAAACACGAAAGUGGACGUAUACGGUGUGACGCCUGCCCGGUGCCGGAAGGUUAAUUGAUGGGGUCAGCGCAAGCGAAGCUCUUGAUCGAAGCCCCGGUAAACGGCGGCCGUAACUAUAACGGUCCUAAGGUAGCGAAAUUCCUUGUCGGGUAAGUUCCGACCUGCACGAAUGGCGUAAUGAUGGCCAGGCUGUCUCCACCCGAGACUCAGUGAAAUUGAACUCGCUGUGAAGAUGCAGUGUACCCGCGGCAAGACGGAAAGACCCCGUGAACCUUUACUAUAGCUUGACACUGAACAUUGAGCCUUGAUGUGUAGGAUAGGUGGGAGGCUUUGAAGUGUGGACGCCAGUCUGCAUGGAGCCGGCCUUGAAAUACCACCCUUUAAUGUUUGAUGUUCUAACGUGGACCCGUGAUCCGGGUUGCGGACAGUGUCUGGUGGGUAGUUUGACUGGGGCGGUCUCCUCCUAAAGAGUAACGGAGGAGCACGAAGGUUGGCUAAUCCUGGUCGGACAUCAGGAGGUUAGUGCAAUGGCAUAAGCCAGCUUGACUGCGAGCGUGACGGCGCGAGCAGGUGCGAAAGCAGGUCAUAGUGAUCCGGUGGUUCUGAAUGGAAGGGCCAUCGCUCAACGGAUAAAAGGUACUCCGGGGAUAACAGGCUGAUACCGCCCAAGAGUUCAUAUCGACGGCGGUGUUUGGCACCUCGAUGUCGGCUCAUCACAUCCUGGGGCUGAAGUAGGUCCCAAGGGUAUGGCUGUUCGCCAUUUAAAGUGGUACGCGAGCUGGGUUUAGAACGUCGUGAGACAGUUCGGUCCCUAUCUGCCGUGGGCGCUGGAGAACUGAGGGGGGCUGCUCCUAGUACGAGAGGACCGGAGUGGACGCAUCACUGGUGUUCGGGUUGUCAUGCCAAUGGCACUGCCCGGUAGCUAAAUGCGGAAGAGAUAAGUGCUGAAAGCAUCUAAGCACGAAACUUGCCCCGAGAUGAGUUCUCCCUGACCCUUUAAGGGUCCUGAAGGAACGUUGAAGACGACGACGUUGAUAGGCCGGGUGUGUAAGCGCAGCGAUGCGUUGAGCUAACCGGUACUAAUGAACCGUGAGGCUUAACCUU
rnacentral:rRNA from 1 species